CUGAAAGACUAAUGCCCUCUGAGCCUCACUGGGUGCUAAGCACUUUGCAUAAAUGAACUCGUGGGAGCCCGACAACAUUCCUGUGUGUGGUGGCCUCUGUGAUCAUCAGCCCCGUAUCAUGGAUGAGGAAGUUGAGCAAUGGAGUGAUUCAGUGGCACGGCUCAAGUGUGAGGGAGCGGAGACUGGAACCCAGGGGUCCUGGCUGCAGAACCGUUGCUCUUAUCCACCGCUCACUCCCAGUGCAAGAGCUAGCUGUCCCAGCCCCGGAAGAGCCUGCCUUCUCCAGGUGACAGCCUCCCCAGACAGCUGGGGCCCCGCGUCCCACUGGUCUGGCCGGUCCCAGGCGCCCCACGCCCACACGCCCCCCACCAAGGGCGGAGCGAAGGAAAGGGGACCCAGGAAGUUUUGGUAAACCACCGCCGCCACCUCCAAGCCGGCCACCAGGUGAGCGCCCGGACUGGUAAGUCUGUGCUCAUCCCCAGGAGCCUCACCCCACAGCUGCGGAGCCCCCAGGGCAGACUCUGGUCCCCAUCUCUGGCCUUUCCGGAUCCCGAGGUACCCAGCUGUGCGGGCACCUUCAUCCGCGACCUGGGUCGGGGUGGGGAGAUUCCCCACCCCUUUCCCUCCUCGCGGGCUUUGUAUCCUUGGCAGUUCCUUCCUCCUUCCUCUCUCCAAGCUUAGUUCCCGGGCAGCUUCCUUCGCAGCUGCCGCCCCGCCCCGCCUCCCAAUGCUGAAAACAGAAAAUCGAAGUCCACCGACAGACUGCUGCUUCUGAGCUGUGCGACCUUGGCUGGUGACUCAACCUCGCGGGGACCUGGUUUCUUCGCCUGUGAAAUGAGGGUGAUAACAGUAUCAACACUAGGGGCUAUCGUGAGGUUUAAACCAGUUGACACAUGAAAUUGCAUGCUGAGAACAGCGCCUGGCCCAGAGUAAGGGCUGGAUAACAAUCAACUGUUAUUUUUAUGCUUAUUAAUGUGACUGCUGCUGAAGCUCCAGUAUUUGGCCACCUGAUGGGAAGAGCUGACUCAUUAGAAAAGACCCUGAUGCUGGGAAAGAUUGAACGCAGGAGGAGAAGGGGACGACAGAGGAUGAGAUGGUUGGAUGGCAUCACUGACUCAGUGGGCAGGAACACUAUCAAACUCCGGGAGAUGGAUGGUGAGAUCUUAGUUUCCCAAGCCAGGCUCUCUGUAGUGAAAGCACCGAGCCCUAACCAUUGGACCUCCAGGGAUUCCCAGAACUAGGAAGUUUCUGAAACUCAAGAAUACACAUGCAUGGGUACUCUUUUGCCCCCUUCUGAUGCCUAUGUCACAAGCUUUCUCUAUCUCCUUUAUACUUUAAUAAAACUUUAUUACACAAAAG